rnacentral:rRNA from 1 species
UACGUAGGCAGCGAGCGUUGUUCGGAGUUACUGGGCGUAAAGAGUGCGUAGGCGGUUUUCUAAGUUUGGUGUGAAAUCUCCCGGCUUAACUGGGAGGGUGCGCCGAAAACUGGAAGGCUUGAGUAUGGGAGAGGUAAGCGGAAUUCCUGGUGUAGCGGUGAAAUGCGCAGAUAUCAGGAGGAACACCUGCGGUGUAGACGGCUUACUGGACCAUAACUGACGCUGAGGCACGAAAGCGUGGGUAGCAAACAGG